rnacentral:rRNA from 1 species
AGCAGUCGCCGCGUUAAUACGUAGGGUGCGAGCGUUAAUCGGAAUUACUGGGCGUAAAGCGUGCGCAGGCGGUUGUGUAAGACAGGUGUGAAAUCCCCGGGCUUAACCUGGGAACUGCGCUUGUGACUGCACAGCUAGAGUAUGGCAGAGGGGGGUGGAAUUCCACGUGUAGCAGUGAAAUGCGUAGAGAUGUGGAGGAACACCGAUGGCGAAGGCAGCCCCCUGGGCCAAUACUGACGCUCAUGCACGAAAGCGUGGGGAGCGAACAGGAUUAGAUACCCCGGUAGUCCCUGUCUCUUAUAC